GACGAACGCUGGCGGCGCGCCUAACACAUGCAAGUCGAACGAGCGAGAGAGAGCUUGCUUUCUUGAGCGAGUGGCGAACGGGUGAGUAACGCGUGAGGAACCUGCCUCAAAGAGGGGGACAACAGUUGGAAACGACUGCUAAUACCGCAUAAGCCCACGGUGCCGCAUGGCACAGAGGGAAAAGGAGCAAUCCGCUGUGAGAUGGCCUCGCGUCCGAUUAGCUAGUUGGUGAGGUAACGGCCCACCAAGGCGACGAUCGGUAGCCGGACUGAGAGGUUGAACGGCCACAUUGGGACUGAGACACGGCCCAGACUCCUACGGGAGGCAGCAGUGGGGAAUAUUGCACAAUGGGGGAAACCCUGAUGCAGCGACGCCGCGUGGAGGAAGAAGGUCUUCGGAUUGUAAACUCCUGUUGUUGGGGAAGAUAAUGACGGUACCCAACAAGGAAGUGACGGCUAACUACGUG
rnacentral:rRNA from 1 species